rnacentral:tRNA from 1 species
GCAGUGGUGGUUCAGUGGCAGAAUUCUCACCUUCCAUGUGGGAGACCUGGGUUCAAUUCCCAGCCAAUCA